UUAAUAGAAACCAAAAAAGAGGUAUCUUAUUGUUAAUAAGAACAAUGAACUUUAUUCCUAUUAAA
rnacentral:tRNA from 1 species